rnacentral:rRNA from 1 species
UGUGAGUGAUGAAGGUUUUCGGAUCGUAAAGCUCUGUCGGGUGGAAAGAAUAAAGGCUGUGUAAAUAAUGCAGUCUGAUGACGGUACCACCAAAGGAAGCACCGGCUAACUCCGUGCCAGCAGCCGCGGUAAUACGGAGGGUGCAAGCGUUGUUCGGAAUUAUUGGGCGUAAAGGGCGUGUAGGCGGGUAUGCAGGUCAGAUGUGAAAUCCCCCGGCUCAACCGGGGAAGUGCAUUUGAAACCGCAUAUCUUGAGUACGAGAGAGGCAGAUGGAAUUCCCAGUGUAGAGGUGAAAUUCAUAGAUAUUGGGAAGAACACCGGUGGCGAAAGCGGUCUGCUGGCUCGAUACUGACGCUGAGACGCGAAAGCGUGGGGAGCAAACAGGAUUAGAUACCCUGGUAGUCCACGCCGUAAACGAUGUGCACUAGGUGUUGGGGGUAAUUAAACCUUCAGUGCCGCAGCUAACGCAUUAA